rnacentral:tRNA from 1 species
GGGCCCAUAGUUUCAACUGGUAAAACAGUGGUCUCCAAAACCAUAGUUCUCUGUUCAAAUCAGAGUGGGCCUGCCA